rnacentral:rRNA from 1 species
AUACGGAGGGCGCAAGCGUUGCCCGGAAUCACUGGGUGUAAAGGGUGCGUAGGCGGGGCUGUAAGUCAGAGGUGAAAGCCCUCGGCUCAACCGGGGAAUUGCCUCUGAUACUGCAGCUCUUGAGUCCCGGAGAGGCCGCUGGAAUUCCUGGUGUAGCGGUGAAAUGCGUAGAUAUCAGGAGGAACACCGGAGGCGAAGGCGGGCGGCUGGACGGGGACCGACGCUGAGGCACGAAAGCGUGGGGAGCAAACAGGAUUAGAAACCCUAGUAGUCC